GACGAACGCUGGCGGCGUGCUUAACACAUGCAAGUCGUACGAUGACCCGGCUCUUCGGAGCUGGUGAUUAGUGGCGAACGGGUGAGUAACACGUGGGUGACCUGCCCUGCACUCUGGGAUAAGCCCGGGAAACUGGGUCUAAUACUGGAUACGACCAGUGGCCGCAUGGUCUGCUGGUGGAAAGCCCUUCGGGGUGGUGUGGGAUGGGCCCGCGGCCUAUCAGCUUGUUGGUGGGGUGAUGACCUACCAAGGCGACGACGGGUAGCCGGCCUGAGAGGGUGUCCGGCCACACUGGGACUGAGACACGGCCCAGACUCCUACGGGAGGCAGCAGUGGGGAAUCUUGCACAAUGGGCGAAAGCCUGAUGCAGCGACGCCGCGUGAGGGAUGACGGCCUUCGGGUUGUAAACCUCUUUCGGCAGGGAACAAGCCUGGGGGUUUUCUUCUGGGUGAGGGUACCUGCGGAAGAAGCACCGGCUAACUACGUG
rnacentral:rRNA from 1 species